ACAAACAUUUAUUUUCAGGUGGAAAUAAUUUCGAAUAUCUGAGCCAUUGCGACGUAACCGUAAUGCGCCUCCGAUUGCACCACGAGAUGAUUGUGUAGCGAUGAUGGCGAUGUUCGCAUGUCUGUCCGCUCGUCCGUCCGUCUGAGUCUGUCCGUCCAUAGCUUUACUUUAUGCUUGUUUUGUGUUGUUAUUCGUUGGCGAUGUGUGAGUGUGUUCUGUCAGUUAGCUGUCAUUUUGGUUUUAGUUGAGUCAGAAGUCGAGCGUUGGUCUGUCGUUAGUUAUUUUUUCUUUUCGUCGUUUCCACGCUCCUCUUUUUUUCUACAAAAAAAAAAAAAAAAGUUCAACAAAAUAUAUUUUUCGCAAUCUAGCAAAAUAACAUUGUGAAUUGAAGUGCAAGAAAAAUCCAACAACAAAAUAGUGAAUAUUCAUCCACAAGUCUUGAAAAAAUAUGAACAAACAGUGCAUAAUUAAAAAAUUAUAAAAAAAUUGAAUUUUUUAUUAACAAAAAUAUUUAUUAAAAGAAGCCGCUGAAGCCCGUGCCGAUUUGAAUAAACCAAUAGUCUUUCGCAAACGACAUAAUCCCAAGGAGGCUUCAGAAAAAGCUCUAGCACCAUCCUCAUCCAAACCAAACAAGCCAUCAAGUAAAGAGGAGAAACG